UACGUAGGGUGCAAGCGUUAAUCGGAAUUACUGGGCGUAAAGCGUGCGCAGGCGGUUGUGCAAGACCGAUGUGAAAUCCCCAGGCUUAACCUGGGAACUGCAUCCGAUACUGGAUGGCUUGAAUUCGGGAGAGGGAUGCAGAAUUCCAGGUGUAGCGGUGAAAUGCGUAGAUAUCUGGAGGAAUACCGGUGGCGAAGGCGGCAUCCUGGACCGACAUUGACGCUGAACGGCGAAAGCUAGGGGAGCAAACGGG
rnacentral:rRNA from 1 species